UACGGGGGGGGCAAGCGUUGUUCGGAAUUACUGGGCGGAAAGGGCUCGUAGGCGGCCCACUAAGUCAGACGUGAAAUCCCUCGGCUUAACCGGGGAACUGCAUCUGAUACUGGAUGGCUUGAGUUCGAGAGAGGGAUGCGGAAUUCCAGGUGUAGCGGUGAAAUGCGUAGAUAUCUGGAGGAACACCGGUGGCGAAGGCGGCAUCCUGGACCGACACUGACGCUGAGGAGCGAAAGCCAGGGGAGCAAACGGG
rnacentral:rRNA from 1 species